AUUGAACGCUGGCGGCAGGCCUAACACAUGCAAGUCGAGCGGAUGAAGGGAGCUUGCUCCUGGAUUCAGCGGCGGACGGGUGAGUAAUGCCUAGGAAUCUGCCUGGUAGUGGGGGAUAACGUCCGGAAACGGGCGCUAAUACCGCAUACGUCCUGAGGGUGAAAGUGGGGGAUCUUCGGACCUCACGCUAUCAGAUGAGCCUAGGUCGGAUUAGCUAGUUGGUGGGGUAAAGGCCUACCAAGGCGACGAUCCGUAACUGGUCUGCGAGGAUGAUCAGUCACACUGGAACUGAGACACGGUCCAGACUCCUACGGGAGGCAGCAGUGGGGAAUAUUGGGCAGUGGGCGGAAGUCUGACCCAGCCAUGGCGCGUGUGUGAAGAAAGUCUUCGGAUUGUAAAGCACUUUAAGUUGUGAGGAAGGGCAGUAAGUUAAUACCUAGCUGUUUUGACGUUAACAACAGAAUAAGCACCGGCUAACUACGUG
rnacentral:rRNA from 1 species